ensembl:scaRNA
UGGCCGAUGAUGACUAGACCACUGCGCAAUCUGAGUCUGGGAACCAGGUGAUGGAGUGUGUUGUGACAACAGACUGAGGCCG